AGGCGGUUAGCCUCUCUAUACA
rnacentral:snRNA from 1 species